UAAUACGUAGGGGGCAAGCGUUGUCCGGAAUUAUUGGGCGUAAAGAGCGCGUAGGCGGUCCGAUAAGUCGGCUGUGAAAGUCAGGGGCUCAACCCUUGAAAGCCGGCCGAUACUGUCGGACUAGAGUCCGGAAGAGGCAAGUGGAAUUCCCGGUGUAGCGGUGAAAUGCGCAGAUAUCGGGAGGAACACCAAUGGCGAAGGCAGCUUGCUGGGACGGUACUGACGCUGAGGCGCGAAAGCAUGGGGAGCAAACAGGAUUAGAUACCCUGGUAGUCCACGCCGUAAACGAUGGGCACUAGGUGUGGGAGGUGUCGACUCCUCCCGUGCCGCAGCUAACGCAUUAAGUGCCCCGCCUGGGGGAGUACGGCCGCAAGGCUAAAACUCAAAGGANUUGACGGGGGCCCGCACAAGCAGCGGAGCAUGUGGUUUAAUUCGACGCAACGCGAAGAACCUUACCUGGGCUUGACAUGUUGGUCGUACCUGUGGAAACACAGGGUCAGUUUCGGCUGGAACAUCACAGGUGGUGCAUGGC
rnacentral:rRNA from 1 species